CCCGCGGCCGCCCAGGCACUCCCCCAACCGCGGCAAGGGGCGACGAGCCCGCAUCGGAACAAAAGCGGCGGCAGGGGAGGGGUAUUUCACAUGUUUAAAUCCUCACCUGCUCUUCACCCAUUUUACUCUUCCUUCAGUGCUUGCGGUUUUGCAAAACCGUUACAACCGAAGGCGAUGGCCAAGCGGUUCCACCGCUUCGACUUAUCAGACUCCUUUUUCUGCUGAUUCCCGUUCUCUUCUCCACCCUUGCAGGAUGAAGCAGGCCUGUAGACUUCAGAGAAAUGAUUGCCGUCAACCAACCACUCAUUUAGCAUUACCGCUGCAUCGACGGAGUGGUUCAUCUUCUCAAAGUCCUUCGUGAUGUCGCCGUCCUUAUAGCGCAUGAGAAUGCUGCUGCCACCUGGAUGCAUGCGAGUUGCAAACUCCAGCGGAACAUCGUACUUGUUUCCGCGGUAAUAAACGCGGAUGGAGGAGGGCUCGGCAACGUACUGCAUGAUGUAGUGCUUACAGUUUAUGUUGGGUUUGUUGGUCGCAAAACAGUUGACUGGCUUAUGAAGUUGAAAACUGCCCACGCAAAGAGGAAAAGACAAUCGCGUCGCUUUUUGAUCAAUGGAGAACGAAAUGAGAGUGGAAUGCAAAAAGGCAAAGAGAGAUGAGAGGCGGCAACGGGCACAAGAGCGCAACGCAUCCACAUGCCCAUUCGCCCCGCGUUGUUGAGACAGCCACUACAACGAUACUCGUGCCAUCUCUUGCUUCCGAGACGUGUCAAAUUUGCAGUCGGCAUGUCGCCCUUUUGUGUUGUUUUUCCUCAUUUCAGGCUACAUGGAUCAUGAUGCACCGGUGCGAGAGAAAUGCGCGCAGAGGUUGCGAGUAGUAAAACGAAAACAAAAGCACACAAUGAUUCCCGCUUACAAGGAGUCCCGAUAAUUGCAUGACGGAUUCCCAUUCCCUUCGGCGAGCCUCUAUCGUAACAGAAAAUUCUGUGAUCCAAAGGUGAAAAUACGAAGAGCUUGCGUGUCGCUUGCCCCUAUUUGAAGUCGCUAGCUCGCCAAGACAGCUUCAGAUGGACUGGCCACAUUGCAGAACAGGAGCCCAAAGCACGCGAAAACGAAAAGAAGCCCAGCUUCCAAGAUGCGUUUGAACAAGCUAAGGUUAUCCAGUCGCAACUCUUUACACCGAAACAGAGGCCGUGAGGUAGAUUGCGUUACGAAAAAUACAACCCGAAUCCCUUGUGCAACGCGGUUAUUGGCUGCUUGUCGCUGCGCUCGGAAGCGGCGCUCAACCCAAGCGAGCUCCAUGGUGCCUCCCCUCCCUGUUUUACAAGUUGCCUCGCAUUUGUUUUCUACCGGCUCAG
rnacentral:misc_RNA from 1 species